rnacentral:lncRNA from 1 species
GUGCCGGAUAUUCCGAUCUUUACCAACAGCCAGUGAAAGAUUCUUACAGUCAUACGCUACGAUAUAUUUAGAUAUAUUUCAGAAAAUAUCAUUUUCCUAUCAUGUUUUGGCAGUUUUAUAAUACGUCGUCAACAAAUAGAUAAAAACAAGUUUAUGUAUUGUAUGGGCAGUGUCCCAAAGCUGAUAAACAAGUGUGCUAUCGACGCUUCACCUAGCGGAAACUUGUCAUCACAAAUACGUACUUCCAAAUGAAAAUCAGUAGGACAAUUGGCACAAAAAGGCACUUUUCAUGUUUCUACCUGUUGUGAAUAUCAGGAGCUUUUUUUCAAAUAUUGAUUUACAAUUUCAAAAAUCUUCUGCAAGUCUCGUAUUUAUAUAUCACAAAGAUUUGAAUGUUGAAAUGGUAAAAAUAGCAAAAAUAAUGCUUUUACAUUUUCAUAAUCUUGAAAGAAGUUCUUUGUUUAUGUUACUUUGAAACAGAUGGUACUUGCAUAUGUUUCGCGUGCUAUCUGCCUGUAUUCUAAUUUUAAACAAUACUUAAAAACUAAAGUGAGAUACUUUAUAAAUCUGUUCAUAUAAAAUUUCAAAUGUUGUCCCCGCCUGACCUUAAUCUGACAGGUAAAUGAACGGCAAAAUCCAGUUUAAAGACAGUAAGUAAGUCUUUUUCUGUUCUAAUAUCGAAGCAAUUCACGUAUUUUUCCAGAGAAAGAUCUGUUUAAACGUUUUGUUUAUCUUUAGCCGACAACUUUUAUGUUUUUAACGGGAUGCGGUUCUUACCGUUGUCCCACAUUUUGUGUUGAACGUUCUUGCAAAAUGAAUAGAUAGGGCGGAGAGGUGGGAGACUGCUUUUCAAUAAUUUCUAUUUUUUCCCAUUAAGUAACAAUAACAAUAAUUAUUCCGGUCUUAAGUUUAGUCAUAUACAUUAAGUUAUCAAAAGUUAGUAUCUCCAAAAACAACGACCCAGCUUGAAACAAUAUCAAUCGGUGAAAAUUGAUUUAACGCCGUCGGACUUUCCGUAAUGUGGUGGCUUGUUUACAUGUACUAGUAAUUAACAGAACACGAGGAUGAAAGCAUCA